GUGAAUCAUCGAAUUUUUGAACGCAAAUUGCACUUUCUGGUAUUCCGGAAAGUAUGCCUGCUUGAGGGUCAGUUAAAUAAAAAUCGGUGUUGUUGCUGCCUUUCGUGGUGACGCGUCGGAAUUGGGUUGUCUUACCUUCGGUUAAGUGACUUAAAAUUUUGCAUGAUUUUCGAACGUAUUUAAAUUUCUUACGUACGUUUGAGAUAUCGAAUGCUUAUUAGGUUCGGUCAUCCUCAUGACCCGCGCCUAUAAUUUUUUUCUUAAAUUACCUGAAAACAAGGAAGGAAUCCCGCC
rnacentral:misc_RNA from 1 species